rnacentral:rRNA from 1 species
UAACGCGUGAGGAACCUGCCUCAAAGAGGGGGACAACAGUUGGAAACGACUGCUAAUACCGCAUAAGCCCACGGCUCGGCAUCGAGCAGAGGGAAAAGGAGUGAUCCGCUUUGAGAUGGCCUCGCGUCCGAUUAGCUAGUUGGUGAGGCAACGGCCCGCCAAGGCGACGAUCGGUAGCCGGACUGAGAGGUUGAACGGCCACAUUGGGACUGAGACACGGCCCAG